rnacentral:rRNA from 1 species
UACGUAGGGACCAAGCGUUGUUCGGAUUUACUGGGCGUAAAGGGCGCGUAGGCGGCUUGUCAAGUCACUUGUGAAAUCUCUGGGCUUAACCCAGAGCGGCCAAGUGAAACUGACAUGCUAGAGUGCAGAAGGGGCAAUCGGAAUUCUUGGUGUAGCGGUGAAAUGCGUAGAUAUCAAGAGGAACACCUGAGGUGAAGACGGGUUGCUGGGCUGACACUGACGCUGAGGCGCGAAAGCCAGGGGAGCAAACGGG